UCACCGCACUCAUGAGCCGCUGGAAAAAUGCGAGUAUUGAACAAGUUGCAGUGUCGGUUGUGCUUUCCCAUCUUGCACAAUUCGACAACCGUUUGAAUCGUCUCGCAUUCACAACAGAAAUUUCCACUCGCAGUGAGUUGCAAAAAGAACUGCAGGCCUUUUCAUACCUGAAGCGGAAAUCCCCUACCGUGACUGAAGCAAGCAAGCCUGUAAUGGACAACGCGAAACGACAAAAGUUUUCACAACCGACAACAGUGAAGUGCUUUUUGUGUGGAAAACUCGGACACAAACAAGCAGAUUGUCGUCUCAAAGGAUUGUAUCCUAAGAAGCAGCCAGCCCCAGCGUCAUCCCAAGCUAGCCACCAGCAACAGCCAGCCAGCAGCCGAGCUAUCAUCUGCUUCAAGUGUGGCGAACCGGGCCACAUCGCGACGCGCUGCCCAGCCCCCGCGUCUACCCCCAGGCCAGAGCGACGAGUCGACCUUUGUGUGGUCGAGCCCCCAACCGGAGAGCUAAAACAUCUUGAGUAAACACACGAGGACGUGUGUAGAGGCAGAAUGGCCGUGUCGUAUCCGGUCAAACGGAAGUCCCGGUCGGAACGUCAAACGUGUCACGUGACAGCACAGCAGCGUCACCAGAUCACGUGACUGCACAGCAGCGCCGCCGCCCCGUCACGUGGCAUGUUUCGACAGAGUCUUGGUGGCGACCGGCCGCCCAGCGGAGCUCACUUCUCGUUGGAGCGCCAGUCGCGAAGCACCUUGGAACUGUCCCUCGUUCCGUACCCAGUUUGUGAAGUGUCUGUGUGUGAAUAUUAUAGCCUAGCAUUUGAUUUGUACAGUGUCCGUUAAAUUAAAAUAAAGUGUGAAGAUUAACUUUG